UGGAAGGUAAAGUCGUAACAAGGUUUCCGUAGGUGAACCUGCGGAAGGAUCAUUACAGAAUGAAAAGUGCUUAACUGCAUUUUUUCUUACACAUGUGUUUUUCUUUUUUUGAAAACUUUGCUUUGGUAGGCCUUCUAUAUGGGGCCUGCCAGAGAUUAAACUCAACCAAAUUUUAUUUAAUGUCAACCGAUUAUUUAAUAGUCAAAACUUUCAACAACGGAUCUCUUGGUUCUCGCAUCGAUGAAGAACGCAGCGAAAUGCGAUAAGUAAUAUGAAUUGCAGAUAUUCGUGAAUCAUCGAAUCUUUGAACGCACAUUGCGCCCUUUGGUAUUCCAAAGGGCAUGCCUGUUUGAGCGUCAUUUCUCCCUCAAACCCUCGGGUUUGGUGUUGAGCGAUACGCUGGGUUUGCUUGAAAGAAAGGCGGAGUAUAAACUAAUGGAUAGGUUUUUUCCACUCAUUGGUACAAACUCCAAAACUUCUUCCAAAUUCGACCUCAAAUCAGGUAGGACUACCCGCUGAACUUAAGCAUAUCAAUAGCCGGGGGGGA
rnacentral:sRNA from 1 species